rnacentral:lncRNA from 10 species
CGGCCAAUUGAUUUCAUUGUUUUCUUUUCCUUUUUUUAAACCAACCAGGGACAUUUAAUUUAAAAAAAUACAAGCAAGUUAUCCAGGACCUAAUCUGCUAAGCAGUGUUCUCCCCAAGAGGAUGAAGCCCUGCUGGCUGGCUCUGACAUUCAAUUCAGACUGAAAACACAGUAACUCCUCUGGCCCUUGCUGGGAAAUGUCCUGCGCAGGCCAUGGGCAGCACUCCAGUGCAGCUGACCUCCCACAAGGCCCCCAAACACAUGAUCCCACCAAAGGCUUGAACAGGGGAACCUCACAAGCAGGCAGAGAGCACACCUGAGACACAAGGACAAGUAAGUCAAGCAAAUGGGACUGAGAUUAAAGCCAGUGAAUAAAACUAAAGGUCACUUUAAAGGAGUAUAAAGCUACAGUGGACAUAACGUGGCAUAGGUGAUCUUGACACCACAGAACUGUGAAGCCUGCAAUCCUACAAUAUAGAGGGGUAUGAGGAAGACAUCUCAGGAUACUGAAGAGUGUUGCAGAGGACCCACAAAUAGUCCUGAGCAUGAGAUGGUGGACAACAAACCCAUUUUUGGUGUGUUGCAGCAAGAGCGCUGGCCUGCCAUGAUCUGCUACAUUCUACCUGGAAAUACAAGUCAGAAGUCAGCCUGUCAUAUUUUUUCAAAAGGUGACUUGUCAAAAUGAGACUUCUUUCAUAAAAUCAGUCUGGUUGGGCAUGGUGGCUCACGCCUGUAAUCCUAGCACUUUGGGAGGCUGAAGUAGGUGGAUGGCUUGAGCCCAGGAGUUUGAGACCAGCCUGGGCAACAUGGCAAAAUCCCAUCUCUACAAAAAAUACAAAAAUUAGCCGGGCAUAGUGUCACACACCUGUGGUCCCAGCUACUCAGGAGACUGAGAUGGGAGGAUCACCUGAGCCCGGGAGGUUAAGGCUGCAGUGAGCCAGGAUUGGGCCACUGCACUACAGCAUGGGUGACAGAGUGAAAUGCUGUCUCAAAAAACAACAACAAAAAAUCUCUCAAUCUGUCCAAAUAGUUAGAUUGUCUUCAGUAAUCUUUCCAUCGCGAUCUUGCUUUGUUUCUACUACUACUCUGAUGCUACAUAAUUAAGGUCACCAAUCGUUGUCACUGUCUUUCCAAACCUGUUGUUCCUUACUUCCUCCGGCCAUUCUUCCUUGUCCCCCUCCCAUUCAUCAUCCAGACACACACACACACACACACACACACACACACACACACACACACAUACAUUUUAACAAUACCAAACUCCUUGUAGUUCCCCUAAAUGAAUCAUGUUGUUUCCCUUACCUGAAAUGCCCAAUCCCUUUUUUAUUUUCAUUGCUAACUCCUCUCAUCUUUCCAGAGUGUUCACGUCUACCAGGAGUGUUCUUGUCCCUCCCAUUCCUUUCUACUCUAGCUCCACUCACAGUUCUGUGUAAUCCCAUCUUGUGGACUAACCCGUGUUAAAAAGAUUUGUUUGCUGAUUUGAUUCUUCCCUCCACUACACCCCCCCAUAACACAAAAUGAGUCCCUUAAAAGCAGAAAUGUUGCCUCACUGGUCUCCAGCACCCAGUGGAGUAUUUGGUAUGAAUGUCGGUCGAACUGUACUCUCUCCAGUGUGCAUUUUGUUCCAGGAAGACUAGGUAAUAGCAGGAGCAUUAGAAGCCUCAUCUUCAGGGCUGUUUGACAUUGAUUUUUUAAAAAAUACAUUUCCUGAGGUCUCACUAGUGCCAGAAUAUGAAAAAAAUAAUCAUUCUUCUCUGACUAAAGUGGAAUCACCAGUGAUUUAUUCUCUCCUUAAUCAGUAAUACUAGCUAACAUUUAUAUAGCCCUCACUAGGUCCCAAGCACUUUGAACAUAUCAUCUUAUUUCAUGUCUAUAACCACCUUCAGGUAGGCACUGUUGUUACCCUCCAAUUUACAAAGGAGGAAACUGAAGUGCAGGGAGGUUAAGUAAGUGGCAAGCUAGAAUCUGGAUACAGGUUGUCUGGUUCCAGGGACCAGGCAGUUAGCCAUUAUGCUAUGCGGCAUGAUUUCUUGCUUUCCUUGCCCUUUUUUCUUAAAUGUUUAAUUACAUAAGUAGCAUAUCAAUACAUUUAAAUUGUCAAAAAUUCAGAAACAAAGCAAAAACUCACUACUAUUUGAUGGGUAUCUUUCAAGAUCUUUUUCUUUGUUUACAUACAUAUAUACAUUAUGUGUGUGUACAUAUACACAAAGAAAUAUGUAUUUUUAUGUAACUGGAUUAUGCCUUAUUUUUCUAUAGAUUUGUUUUCAUUUAACAAUUUGUCUUAAAGGUCUUUUCAUAUCGAUGCAUAUUGAUCUAUUUUAUUCUUUGAAUGUUGCAUAGUAUGGAUAUAUUCCAUAGAAUGGGUGUAAUAUAGUUUAGGUAACCAUUUUUCUUUUGCGAGUCAUUUAUGUUGUUUCUGAUUUCACUGUUACAAACCAGGCUGCACUGAGUAUCCUUGAACAUGUCUCUUCACAUUCAUGCAACUAUACGUCUAGGAAAGAUCCUCAGAAAUAAAAUUGUUGGGAUGAAGUUUGUGUUGACUUUUUUUUUUUUAAUGGUGACUCACAUCCUGCCUUCCAGGGAGGCUGUGGCUUUUAUUGUUUCAUCAUUCACAUAUUAAAAGGGUUGUGUACACUUGGUUGAAUUUAUGGCAGAGUAAAAAAUCAUAAUAAAAUAAAUAAAAGGGCUGUGGCUGGAGGUUUUCCAGGAAAUCAACUCUCUAUAAAAGCACUGCUCACACCCUAACAUGCCAAGGAAAGCAAAGGCCUUCUCUCUUCUCCACCUCAUCUUUAGGAAAAAGGAAUUUUGGCCUGAGUUGCAGAAUAAACAGUGUCCUUGAGAGCAUACAGUGGGAUUCCUGAAAAAGAAGGUGGCAGGCAAGAGGAAGGUGAAACUUUCUGUGGGAAGAAAUCAAGUGGCUCUGUCAAAAGACAAAAUUACAACCCAUUUAGUUAAAGAUCUUAAUAGGCUUUUAUCGGUGACUCUUGAAUCAGGCAACAACUCAAUCUGUAAAUGAGCUGAACAGAGAAGUUUGGCUUUAUAGACAAAAAGGGCUGGGGAAGCAGACAUAGAGAACAAAAAGUGGAUUAGUCAUUUUGAAGUUGCUUUCUUCCUAAAGGUUAAAGCAGAGGGGACUUCCUUAUCAUGCCGGGUAAAACUGGCCUGUUUGGGGAUUUGGCUCUCUCUCUCUCCCUGCCACCCCCAACCCCCUGAUUCCUUGGAAGUUCAGAUAAACACCUUGGUUUUGGUU